CUAAGCUCAAAGAAGGAAGCUGUUGCUGGCAGGUGCUUCUCAGAAGUCUGGCACAUCUGUGUAUUUCUUGUCUAAUUCUUCUCAUUGGCCUGGAGCAUCUCUUCACAUUUUUCUCUAGAGAGCCUGGCACUUUUUUUUCCCCAACAACCUGACCAUUUUAUCUUCUCAGUCUAGGGCUUCUGGGGUCAAAAGAAAGGACUGAAAUACAGUAUCACCUAUAUGAAUGUCUGCUCCUGAGGGAAGUUAACAAAAGCCAGAUUAGAUACUGACUGGAUUUUGGUGUCUCUCUCAAGUGGAGAAGAUGUGAAUAGAAACAGAAGUUUACAAAACACUAUAGCCUAACAAAUAGGUAAAAGCUGUGAUUUAAAGCUGGCUCAAGACUGGCCCAGGCAUAAUACUGUCAAUCUAAAGGUAACCGGCAACAUCAAAAAGUACAUCUCAAAAGAAUCAGGCUUAAAGAUAAACAGGAGAACUGGAAAUAUCUAAGAGUAAGAAGUGUAAACAAUAGAAAAGAGGUAGGGUUUAGGGUUCUCAUCUUGGGAUUUCCCCAGGUCUUCAAGCUUCUAUCCUUCCUGGGUUCUGGGUCAUGGGCCUCCAGAUUCCGGCCGUUAGUCUUGAGAUACCUUUUUCGCUUGGGUCCUCUAUCCAUCUAGGUAGGCUUUGUGACAGGGGCCUUCCAUCCUUGGGUUGUAGGUCUUCCAGCUACAACCCUGGGCUAAUCUUAGGUCGUUGGCCUUGUGUCACAAGUCUCAGUUCUUAGGCCUUCCAUGUGUCCUGUCCCAGGUCUUAAGACUUCUAACUCAAGCCUUGAGACUUCCAUCCAACUCAGGCCUUCGGUCCAAUUCAGGCCACCCUCUGUUUUCUUGGCUCUUGAGGCUUUUGUUGGUUUCAGGCCUGAGGCUUCUAUCUAUCUUGGAACAUGGGCUUUCCAUCUUAGUCCUCGGGUCUCAAGUCUCAAACCAUCUGUCUUAUACUUUGGGCCUUCUAUCCAUAUGAGCCUUCCACCUUCUGCCCUACUUGAGUUCUGGGUUUUACUGCAGUCUAGGGCCUUGUUUUGGUCUUGGAUCAUCUCACAUGACACACACACACGUACACUUGCCCACAUAUGCAAAGAAAUAUUUAAGGAGAGAUUACAUGAAAUCAAAGAGAGGGAGAUAGAUUCAUGAAGAGGCUGAAAUACUCAAAGGUGAGUAGAAAGGGAAGAAGCAGAGAACAAAUACAAGCCAACAGAGAUUAAUACUGAAAUAGAAAAUCACAAACAGCAAGAGAUGCUGAGGCACGCAGGGGAGGAGAGAGAGAAUAGCCCAAGAGAGGCAGAAAGGAAAUGCAGAAAUGAGAAAUGUGAGAUAAAAAGUAGAAACAGCAGAAAGGAGGCCAGACUCAGAAAAAAGGUGAAAUUUAAAACGAACGAGAAGGGGAAGGGGUAACAAAUAAUCACAGUUCACAAAGAGAAAAGAGAGGUAGGCAGAGAAAGGAGAGGUAGACAGAACAAGAAAAGGACAAAAAGCACACAGCAUGUGACCCAAAAAGGAGACAUGAAAUAAAGCGUGAAAGAAGAGCCACAUCUAGGAGAGCAAAGAGAAAUAGCAACAAAAUGAAAAAUGAGAGAUAUGUCUAAGACAAGACACAGACCACUCUUGUGAACAAAAAGAGAAAAUGAGGCAAAGGCACACACGAAAGAAAUUAGCAAGAGAAACAUGGAAAUGGGUAAGACACACUUUAGAUAGAGAACAAAGAGCAAAGACAAGAAAGAAAGAGACAAAGAAAUACACA
rnacentral:lncRNA from 1 species